rnacentral:lncRNA from 1 species
CGGUAUAUAAAGUUUAUAAAUUGUGAGAGAAAUUAGAAGAUGGCCAUUUACUGUAGACAUUCGGCUAUUCUGGAAAAUACAACACCAAAAUGAUUGACCCACGCACAACCUGUCCACUACCAUAUCAUUCUCAUAUUAAAUCUUCUUUGUCUCUCUCCUGUCUCGAUUGAAGGAGUGGACAGACAAACAUAACAGAGCAUUCUCAUAUUAUCCACAUUUCUUCUUUGUCUCUCUCCUGUCUCGAUUGAAGGAGUGGACAGACAAACAUAAUAGAGCAUUCUCAUAUUAUCCACACAAUUAACAACAACAACUAUUCAGUAAUAUCCUAUAAAAUAGGGUCUGGGGAGGAUAAUAUUCAUACAAUUAAUAACAACAACAACUACCCAGUAUAUUCUCACCAGGUGGGAUCUGGAGAGGGUAAUAUGUAGACGAGCAUUACCCUUACCCGAAAGGGUAGAGAGGCUGUUUCCAUUCGACCCUCGGCGCAUAGGAUAAAAUGAAAAGCUGCAUUAAAACAAAAACAAAAACAAAAAUAAAAACAAAAACAAAAUUAGAAACAAAAACAAGACAAAACAAAACAAUAAAGCAUUAGUAAAUCCCGCAGAAAUAACAUAAAUAAUUAUGUAAAAAUAAGAAACAUAAAUACAGUCGCAUGCAAUAAUAAUAAACCGUAACUACCAUACUAACAACCAUUAUUCACACAAUUAAGAGAUCUUGAAAAGCUUACUUCAAUCUCUCAUCUGUAUUUAGCUUUUUGGAUUUCUAACAUCUGACCCAAGAAAAUAGUCACUCUUUUCAAGUUUUAAAGAGUGAAUGAUAUAUGAAUAUUACGCGUCAAUUUUUCCUUCUCUCUAUAACGGCCUAAUUCCAGUCCUAUAUAUAUUGCUCUCAUCUCUUCCGUACCCUUUUUGUUUGAGAAAAGUUUCUUCGUAGGAAGAAGAAGAAAAAAAAUUGUGUUUUUCUUUGGAUAUGCAAAUCAAGAAGUCUUUCUCAAUGUCCUCUCGCACAGGAAGAGAUUUGCAGAGAUACAAUCAUGGUUGUCGUCAAGUUGUUGGGUAUAUAUUUUUUUCAUUAAACCUUCCUAUAUAUUGUAUUUCAAAGAAUAUUUUCGAGGGCAAAUAUGAGAAUCGCUUGUGAUGUUGUUGUUUAUUGAGAAGUUGAUGAUCUGAAUUUUCUCUCAUUUUACCAUACUCGUGCAGAUGUAUUCCAUACCGAAGCAAGAAAAAGGACCAAUCAUCUUGUGUUCAGGGUACCCCUGUUGAUGAUUUGGAGUUUUUAUUAAUCAGUUCGCAGAAGAAUCCAAGAAUGAUGUUCCCUAAAGUAUAAAAUCUUUAGACAAUUAAUUCAAUCCAGUUAUCUGUAGUUUUAGCUCCCAGUUGAAUAUGGAAAAUCUUUCUAAUGCAUUACUAAUAUUUAUUAUGUAUCAUUCACCAAUUGACAUUCUUGAUUUUGCAAUUAAAAUGCAGGGAGGUUGGGAAAUCGAUGAGUCACUGGAAGAGGCAGCUUCACGAGAGACUUUUGAAGAAGCUGGAGUGGUUGGUGAGGUUGAGGUUCAGGUUCGUAACUGCACGCAAAAAAAAAUACUACUUCCCUUCUUUUGUAAAUUUGUAUUUAUGAAAUGAAUGUUGAGGAUUCAUUCAAAAAAAAUACUAAUUCCCUUCUUUUGUAAAUUUGUAUUUAUGAAAUGAAUAUUGAGGAUUCAUUUGUUUUCUUGUUACUUCCCCAUUGAGGCAUAGCUAGCUGUUCUUGUUUUCGUUCAGAGGCCUUUUGCUUAUUAACGAUAUUUCUUUGAUCUAUUUGCAGGAAUAUUUAGGUACGUGGAGUUUCAAAAGCAAAAGCCAAGGCACAUUUCAUGAGGGGCACAUGUUUCCUCUGCGUGUCACGGAGGAACUAGACGAUUGGCCUGAGAAAACUGUCCGUCGGCGUUUAUGGGUAGGUUUUCAAUCUGCAAUAGGAGCUAUUCUGAUCUUGAAUAACCCUGUCCACAGAGCAUCCUAUAUUCAUGCAGGAUUCGGAAAAGAGCAAUUAAUCAUGGGGUGUGAUGUAGAAAGCCUAUCAUAAUACAAGAAUUAGUGGUUGUUUCCACGGAUCAACCCGUAAUCUCUAAGUCAAACGAAAAUAAUUUUACCGUUGUUCCAAGGCUCCCUUUCGAAUUACUUAGAUCUUAAUGAAAAAUGUACGGUCAUGAUGUUGAAUUCUAUUCAAUAUAAUUAUGCAGGUGAAAUUUAGAGAAGCAAGGGAAGUAUGUUGGCAUCCGUGGAUGAAAGAAGCAUUAGAUGUAUUUGCUUCUAAGCUUUCGAAGAGAAAAGGAGGGCCUCAAAUAUUCCAUUUAUUGUCAGAUGAAGGUACUGUUGUGUGCUGUAGCUAAGCUCACCAAGAAUCAAAGCAAACAUUCUUCAACGAAGAGCCAAGCAUUAGGGGCCGCAGUCAAGCAAAUUACUACUCCGUGCCCAAGAAUCAAAUCAAGCAUUCUUCGACGAAGAGCCAAGCAUUAGGGGCCGCAGUCAAGCAAUUUACUACUCCGUGUUCAGAGCAGAACCGAGAAGGAACACCAAAGCCAAGACACAAGGCCUUGUUGCACAAAAAUCAGUUUUGUACCUUGAAGCCCUUGGAUGUAUAUUCGAUACUACAAAUCUUAAGAAGCAAGCAAUCAAGAAUCUGCAAUAGCAUUGGCAUUAUACCCCAAAGUCUAUAACAAAAUGAAGAGAUUGACAAUCUUUGGUUGCAAAUUGCAACGACGACACAAGUGUUUAGGAUCCGAGGAGAAGAGAAGCCUCAUGGCCUGUUUGAUAGAAUUCUUAAAUUGUCCCUCAAAUUGGAUAAACAGCUGUUUCUGCCGCACCCUUUUUAAGACGUUAUCUUAAUUAGGAACUUUUAUCAAUUUUCUCAAACUGCGCUGCCUACUCAAAGGAACAGGUGAAGCCUGAUUAUAGGUUAGGAUCAUAAGAAAAUAUAGAGAAUGAGAACAUGGGUUCAUUAGGAGGUUAACUAAGAUAUUAGAUUUUAUGUACAGCUUUUUUGACUUCAUGAUCAGAACAUGGGUUCAUUAGGAGGUUAAUUAAGAUAUUAGAGUUUAUGUACAGCUUUUUUUGACUUCAUCAUUUAAUUACAAGAUUCAUUCUUUCUUUCACAACUUCUUUUCCUAUUUCAUUUGAAAAACAAAAUGUUAUUGAGCAAUUGGUUAACUUAUUGUUUGAGUACAUUUCGAUUGAGAGAUAAUUAAAUUAAAAUCAAAACUUGUUAACAUAAACUUGUCCGUUAAAUGUGCAAUCAAGGAAUUAUUCUUAGCGAAAAAUCUCCACUUGUUAACAUAAAUUUGUUUCGUCUGAUUGUGGAAUUAUGAAUGUAUUCUUAAUGCUUAUGUCAUAAUAAUUAGAAAUCCCAAGAACUAGGAAUGUUUUUUAGUUCAUGCAUUUUAAAAGUCCUAAAAAAAAUCCUCACGUAUACAUAUAUAUGUAUAUGUACUUAAAUAAUAAUAAUAAUAAUAAUAUAUUAAUUUUGGGUAUUUCAUAUACAAAGCAAAUCUUGAUUGAAUCAAAGCCGAAACCUCACAUCUUCAAAUUUCAAAGUCCCCCUUUGCUUGUAGGUAGUUAAUUACUCUAGUUGAUAAGAAACUUUCUCUCUCUUUUAACGUGGCAUUUUCCUAUAUAGAUAUGCUCAUUAGCUAAUGUUGCUUGUGUCGUACUUCCUCCGUGCGAUGAUUAAAACAAGAUUCAUUACCAUGUGUUCUUGCCAUAAUGGGAGUACCUGGGCCUCAUAUAGUGAUGUUGAGCGCGAAGACUUAUUUUGGAAUGAACAUUUUUGUUUGCUUCUUUUAAUAUUUUGCAAAGACUACUUACAAUAAAAGUUCUUCAGUUCAGAAAAAAAAAAGUCCAAAAUAAGUGAACUCAAGUUGUUCCACCAUUUUUGAACUUAAAAAGAUGUUUAGAAGAUUUAUAACAUGCUUAAUGAUCAAUGUUAUACUAUUGAACUAGUAAAAUUGUCUGUGCUCGCGCGGUUGUAAGCGAAAUCAAAUAAUAUAAAGUUAUAACAGUACUACUAUUUAAGAAACAUAAAAACUAUAAAAAAGAUAAUUUUAAAAUAAAUAGGACAAACAAUAUUUGCAAUAUAAAAAGCAAAAAACAAUGCGAACAAUUUAUUAAACAUAUCAUGAUAUAAAAUAUGAAAGAUUCUAAUAUCAAUUUGAACUAAUCGAAAGUAAAAAGAUCAACCACCACAAAAUUAAUAAAGACAAAGAACGUUCGCGCACAAAAUAUCACCAAUUUCAAUAUUUACUGCGCACUUAACUACUCCCAAAUAAAACAUUAAAAGUUAAAUAUAUUUAAUAAAAUAGAUUUUAAUAAAAAGAAUACUACUAAUUUUGUUUGGAUCGUAAAAAUUAUUAUCAUCUACUCUACAGCUUAUCAAAAAAGACUGAAGACAUGCGCAUAUCAACCAACACUACAAAAUAUUACCGUAAAUCCGUAAUACUUCAAUACAAAAGGGCAUAUAAUAGUCAUAGUGAUAGUAAUACACCCCUUCUUAAACUACACCCCCCCCCCCUCUCUCUCUUUAAUUUUUUUCUGGUCCAAAACAUCUACAAAGUAUUUUCAUCAAACUCAUGCAAACAUGAAAGGUUAAAGAAGAAGCAAACGAAAAUUAGAAUAAUGAAAGGUUAAAGUAAUUAAAUUUUGAUUAAUAUAAAUUGUUAAAACAAUUAAUGACGCACCUGAUCAAGCUGCGGCAACACUUAUUCUGUCAUUGCAAUCUCUUCCUCAUUCACAUACAAUCUCGAUUCCCUCAAAAACUUUUCCAACACCACAAAACUCAAAAAUCAGAUACAAAAGCAGUAUCAAAUUGAAAUUUAUUCAAACAACUAUAGAAUAAAAAUAUCUUCUGAAAAAAACUUCACCACAAAACUUAAAAGUGAAUUAAAUUAGUGAAAGAGUUAAUGCUCGGAAACAAUGAAGUUACGAAGUCAUUACCGGAAAAGAAUCAAAACCAAAGCUCUAAAAUUUUGUGAAAUAUUCCAAAAGUACUGAAAUAACAAAAAUGCAAAGUCUUAAUUAUUAAAGUGGGAAUACG